GACGAACGCUGGCGGCGUGCUUAACACAUGCAAGUCGAACGGAAAGGCCCUGCUUUUGUGGGGUGCUCGAGUGGCGAACGGGUGAGUAACACGUGAGUAACCUGCCCGUGACUUUGGGAUAACUUCAGGAAACUGGGGCUAAUACCGGAUAGGAGCUCCUGCUGCAUGGAGGGGGUUGGAAAGUUUCGGCGGGUGGGGAUGGACUCGCGGCUUAUCAGCUUGUUGGUGGGGUAGUGGCUGACCAAGGCUUUGACGGGUAGCCGGCCUGGGAGGGUGACCGGCCACAUUGGGACUGAGCUACGGCCCAGACUCCUACGGGAGGCAGCAGUGCGGAAUAUUGCCCUAUGGGCUGAACCCUGAUGCAGCAACUCCGCGUGCGGGAUGACGGCCUUCGGGUUGUACACCGCUUUCGCCUGUGACGAAGCGUGAGUGACGGUAAUGGGUAAAGACGCACCGGCUAACUACGUG
rnacentral:rRNA from 1 species